UAAAGUGUAAACAACAUCAAUCAAGAUGGCUGCCUUUUAUUUAGUUUAUUCAUUUAUUGUGCAUUUGUUUUGUUAUUACAAUAAUAAUUAGUUGUUAUUAGUUAAAAAUUUAAGAAAUUAAACACAGACAUGGCCCAGAUGAACUUGAAAAAUGGAAAUUGGUGCGUGUCGAUGAAUAUUUUCGUGUUAUUGCACUUGGAUUGCCUGUUCCAAGAUACACUGGUAAUUUAUUGGAUCCACCGUUAAGAUCAAGAUUUCAGGCACGAGAUGUAUCCCAUCUUAGUUACCAGAUUGGUGCGAACUUUGGGUGCAGGACGUGGUUUUAUUUGUACAGAUUGCAGUGAGUUGCCACAGAUUUUAAAACAAAUUUUUACAGCAUCUGUUCUACGAUAACGAUAACGAUAGAUCUAUUAUUAAAUUUUAGUUCAAUUUAAAAACAUU